rnacentral:rRNA from 1 species
AUUGAACGCUGGCGGCAUGCUUUACACAUGCAAGUCGAACGGCAGCACGGGCUUCGGCCUGGUGGCGAGUGGCGAACGGGUGAGUAAUAUAUCGGAACGUACCCAGAAGUGGGGGAUAACGUAGCGAAAGUUACGCUAAUACCGCAUACGAUCUAUGGAUGAAAGCAGGGGACCGCAAGGCCUUGUGCUCCUGGAGCGGCCGAUAUCUGAUUAGCUAGUUGGUGAGGUAAAGGCUCACCAAGGCGACGAUCAGUAGCUGGUCUGAGAGGACGACCAGCCACACUGUAAAUGAGACACGGUACAGACUCAGACGGGCGGCAACAGUAGGGAAUCUUACGAAAGGGGCGAAAGGCAGAGAGGACAACGCCGCGUGAGUGAUGAAGGGCUUCGGAUCGUAAAACUCUGUGAGUGGGGAAGAAAAAAUGUGUAAGUAACUAGGCAGGUCUUGACGGUAAGUAAUCAGAAAGCAACGACGAACUACGUG